rnacentral:rRNA from 1 species
UACGUAGGGUGCGAGCGUUAAUCGGAAUUACUGGGCGUAAAGCGUGCGCAGGCGGUUUUGUAAGACAGGCGUGAAAUCCCCGAGCUCAACUUGGGAAUGGCGCUUGUGACUGCAAGGCUAGAGUAUGUCAGAGGGGGGUAGAAUUCCACGUGUAGCAGUGAAAUGCGUAGAGAUGUGGAGGAAUACCGAUGGCGAAGGCAGCCCCCUGGGACGUCACUGACGCUCAGGCACGAAAGCGUGGGGAGCAAACAGG